UGGAAAUCAUUCAUUUCAUCAUUAUUGGAUGUUAAUGUUCGAUUAGCAUCAGUCAUCGUUAACUAACUUGAAGAGGAUAUAUAGUGAAUAAAUACAAGAAUACCUAAUUCCAUGGGUUAACAUUGGAAGCCUGAGCUUUCUGGAGAUUUUCCGUAUCCAAAUACAACGAUGACGAUGCGACAACAUACUCUGAGAGUUCGGAGGUCUAUUUACACGAGUUCGCAAAUAUAGCCAUAGGUAUCGAAGCCAACCGAAGCGAAGAAUUGAUAAAUUAGUUAUUCCCUCAGUCUGCUGCUGUUCCUCCAGGUACCUGCUGUUUCUCUAUAUCGAAUAUUGCAAGACAUACAAUUAUUAUUCGGAAUUAAUUACUCUUCACAUCAAACGAAAAUAAUAAAAAGUCACGUCCAAAAUGGAGACAACUCAACUAAAUUGCAACGUGUCUAAGGAUCCUCCGUGUUCGACCACAGAGACCCGUAUCCGCAUCUGCGACGGUUUGAAUUGAAGAUUUUUGCGGACGGUAACUCGUUGGCUCACGCGCUAACGUAUUUGCAAGAUCCGCUGUGCUGAUGGACAUAUAAUGCGACGUGUGAUUGUAGGCCCGCCAAUCGCGGCCGAUUGUGCCUCUGAAGGCCCGCUAACUAUCUCAAACUAGCCCCAUUCAAACCGCCACGACCUCUCUCUAUCCAUCUCUAUCUACCAACUCGGCCUCUGUAUCUCGCUCGUUUCAACCCUUAUUCACCACCACCUCCCGGUGCCCGUGCGUCUCGUUCAUCCCCGACUUCGCGUCUUCGUUGCUCCCGAUUCGUGUCUCGUUUGCACUCACUUCACAUUCCGAUUUUCCCUCCUCUUCUGUGAAAACUCCGUCCUCGUUCGAAUUCGAUGUAUUUCUUGCCGCACGUUUCUUCUGCACGGCGCACAUCCUUUUCUAAUUUUCGACUGGCUCUUUCACCGCACACGUAAUCUUCUAUUUUAUUCGCUAUACCCUUCCUAAUGCGAUAGCUCGGUCCAUACAAAUACAGCCACAGCUUCACCUGUUUCCUAUCUCGCCUCACGAAUCGAAUGUUUUACCUCUCAUUUAAAAUUCUUUAUCUCGCUCCCUCCAUUCAACUCUCGCGGUAGAGACAUUUCGUUUUUUCGGGGUUUUUCACGAUUCUUUCCGCUCUAUUAUUUAAUCCUAAUGUAUCUAUUUUCUUUUCAUAAUAUUUAAUCAUGUAUCUUAUUUAAUUCGGUUUUCUUAAUAAGUAAUGUUCAAAAAUCUAAUUUGAAUAAAAAAAUAAUGAUAUUUACGUUUAAUCCCUAUUUAUAUUCAAAUAGAUUUUUAAUUUUUUUUUUUCGAAGUAUAUUUUAUCAGCAAAAAUCCCGUAAAUGUUAAUUGUGUAAUUUCAUUUUAAACUUUUUUAAAAGUUUUCUAAAGAAAGAAAUGAGUUGUUAAUAUUGAGUUGAAAGAAUGUAUAUAUUUUUUAAAAUUAUUUAUCAAAAUUGCUUAUAUUAAAAUUUCUUUAAUUUUUUGUAAGUAAAAUUAGACUUUUAAAGUGACAUUAUCUUAAUAUUAACAUAAACUUCUCGUCUCUAGUCGUUUUUUUUUUAAAAAACAUCUCUAACUUGUAUCAUACUUCAUCGUUAUCACCUCUCUCAUUCGUUUGAUUUUCACGAUUAUACCGAUACCGCUUCGUUUCUCUCUCUGCCAUCCCCAUUCUCUCUAUCCUUUCACCACUACCGAUCAUCUUUCCUUUUCCAACGCCUCUUAUCUUUAUUGUCGAUCUCCGUUCAACCUGUUUCACUCGUCGACACAAUCACGUGUUACAUAGGUACGUACGUUCUACUAGGCUAUUCGUCCCGAUUCGAAUUCUCGACCCUACAUAACCAUGGCACGUUCUACGUGGGAAUUUCAAAUCUAUCAGCAACCCAGACGAAUGCAAAUCGCGCAUGAAGCGCGCUUAAUAAAGCCCGCACGCGGCCCGCAACUCGCAAUUUUCUUUUCGACGCUACGUGUCGCGCGCGCUCCUCUUAAUGAAACCUUCGCAUGCACUGUGCGAGAUUCACAGCUACGUUUCCAUUCAACACGCAUCUCCACUUCGAUGCUAUUAGAAAAAGAAUACAUUCAGGAUCGUUAAGAUUCGACAGAAAGAAUUAGGCGAUUUUAUAUUAUCCUGUUGGAAAAGAAUUGAAUUUGUAGAAAGAAAAUGACAAAAUCCAUUUGUAACAAUUUUAAAGAGAGUAAAAAAAAUUGCUUACAGAAUUAUUGCUUUAAGAAAAACAUUGAUUGAAAAAAAUAUUAUAUUUUUAUACAAUAAUUAAUCAGUUAAUUAUUUUUCCAAUCUUCACUUUAAUUUUUGAAUUAAAAUUUUCCAAAUUUGGUUUUGAUUUGUAUGAAAAUAUUAAAAAAUGGUAACUUUUUUAACAAUAAAAAUAUAAUCUAUUGAUUUAAUGCUGAAUAUUAUUAAUCAAAAAUAUAAUUUUAGAUGCAAGAGAAGGGCAUAUUCGAAUUUACAUUUUUAUUGUAUAAUAUAAAGUAUAAUCUAAAAUCUAUAAUAAAUCGUUUAUUUUUUAUCGACAUUUAUAUUUAGCAUCACAUGAUGAAAAAUUUUUUAAGUAUAUUUUUAAUUGUAUUAUUUAAUUAUAUAUUAUUGUCGAUCUUGUCGAUCUUUAAUAAUUUAGCUAUCUUUUCUAUCUAAUCAGGCUAUCUUUUAUUCUGAAAAAAAAAAUAUGAAAAUAGAAAAUAGAAAAUAGAAAUAAAAAUAGAAAAAUCUAACAAUUUACGAAAAUUAUAAUGCAAUAAAAAUAUUAUACAAAUUUAAACUAAAAAAAUUAGAAGAGAUUUCAAUUUCCGAUCACAAAUAAAAAAUUAUACUUUCAAUUUCUCAUUCAUUGUUUUUAAUAAUUUAUAGAAUAAUGAAUAGAAUAAUUUCGUUUUAUUACAUCAAAUAUUCUCACUAAAAAUGUAUAUCGAUAAACUUCUUUUUCCAAUGAAUCAGUUACGAAUCAUUUCAUCCAAAUAAAUCUCUUGAAAAUGUCAAAAAAAAUAGCGACAUGUGUGAAUCUCGAUGAUCAGUAUCAAAUUGAACAGGAUAAUGCUUUUUGACCAGGCAUAUUUUGAUCAGGCGAAAAUUGAAUUUGAAGGAAACACAGUCAAGAGAUAAGCGCGGAGAAGCGUAGCAGCUAUUUGCGUGGCCUUAAUAAGGACGUUUGAUGGCGUUGGCUUUCCCUUAACAAGCCGGCUAAUAUCCUGGGGCCUUGGCUCCCCUUGGUCUGUCUUCUCUGUCCCUAUCUCUAUUCCUUCUUCUCGCUUCCUCUAUCGACUUCGCUAACCUACCGCACCGUCGGGAAUCACUAAAGCUUGAAAACCGAACAAACUCAGUUAGAGAACUCGGUGUGAGGAGCAACUGGACCUAGCGGCAAAACCGAGCCUUCUCCGCAUCUGCGAUUCUCUUACGCAGCUUGCCAUGUUUAUAGACUGAUUUUAUUCAGUCUUGGAUGGUCGUUUAAUAGUUCUAAUUAGUAAUUAAAAAGAUUAUAUUAAAAACAUCUUUAUCAAAUCUUUUUCAUUUUCUUUUAGGAAAAUAGAGACACAUUUUAAAAUUUUUAAUUUUUUCCUUCUAUAAAUUUAAAUUUUCUUUAAUAAAAUAUUUGUAUACAAUAAUAUAAAAAUGCUGUAAAUAUUAUUUAUAAUUAUGAUCCAAAAGUACUUUAUUCAAUCUUCAUUCAAUCAAAAAGUUGUUAUGAAUCUUAUCAUUAAAAAUUAUUUUUAUUAUAUUUUUUAUAUAUUUGAUUUUUUUUAUAAUAACAUUCUAUUAAAUGU